GAUCCUGGCUCAGGACGAACGCUGGCGGCGUGCCUAACACAUGCAAGUCGAACGGAGAUAAAGGUUUCGGUUUUUAUCUUAGUGGCGCACGGGUGAGUAACACGUGAAUAACCUGACCCAAAGAGGGGGAUAACACCUGGAAACAGGUGCUAAUACCGCAUAAGACCACAAUGUCGCAUGACGAAGGGGUCAAAGAAAAUCGCUUUGGGAGGGGUUCGACGUCCCCAUUAGGGUAGUAGGCGGGGUAACGGCCCACCUAGCCGACGAUGGGUAG
rnacentral:rRNA from 1 species